CAGGAUAUAGUUCAGCUUGGUAGAACACCUACUUUGGGAGUAGGGGGCCGUAGGUUCAAAUCCUGCUAUCCUGA
rnacentral:tRNA from 1 species